AUGUGCAUGUAAAAUUUUAAAUACUGGCAGAAAUCUGAUGUAUGCCUAGAAAGAUCCUAUACUCUGAAAUAACAGUUGAUGGGAAUAUUUUUUAAGGACAAUGGAGCAGUAAUGUGGCAAAUGCCUUGAAUAUACUUCCCUUAGGGGCUCAUUGAAUUGGUGCCAGACUUAAUGUGGACACCUGAUCAAUUUUGGGCUCAGGAUUCUCAAGAUCAAGUAAACUUCCCAAAAAAAUUGUGGAGGGCCUAGCAGUACCAGAUCUUAAACAGUACUAUAAAGCAAUGGUCAUCAAAACAAUAUGGCAGUGGUUAAGAGACAGGAGGGAGGAUCAGUGAAAUAGACUUGAGUCCUCAGGCACAAUGACAUCACCUCUCAGCUUCCAAAUAGUAUUUCUGAGACUCCUCUACUACUUUUGUUCCAGUGUCAGCUCCUUAUUCUCCUCUGUUAGUGAUUUGGAUCAUGGCCCAGAAGAUGCAGUUUCAACAAAAACAUUUUCAUGGAGGUUUGUUUCUUCCUCCCUCAGAAGAUUUUGAUAAUGUGUGAAACAAGUGUCGUGACACAGCUUCAACAUAUGACCUGUUGCAAUUUUUCUGCCUGUGUUUUUCAAUAAACUGUUGAAUUUUUUCCCA
rnacentral:lncRNA from 1 species